rnacentral:rRNA from 1 species
GACGAACGCUGGCGGCGUGCUUAACACAUGCAAGUCGAACGGAAAGGUCCUGCUUUUGUGGGGUGCUCGAGUGGCGAACGGGUGAGUAACACGUGAGUAACCUGCCCUUGACUUUGGGAUAACUUCAGGAAACUGGGGCUCAUACCGGAUAGGAGCUCCUGCCGCAUGGUGGGGGUUGGACAGUUUCGGCGGUUGGGGAUGGACUCGCGGCUUAUCAGCUUGUUGGUGGGGUAGUGGCUUACCAAGGCUUUGACGGGUAGCCGGCCUGAGAGGGUGACCGGCCACAUUGGGACUGAGAUACGGCCCAGACUCCUACGGGAGGCAGCAGUGGGGAAUAUUGCACAAUGGGCGGAAGCCUGAUGCAGCAACGCCGCGUGCGGGAUGACGGCCUUCGGGUUGUAAACCGCUUUCGCCUGUGACGAAGCGUGAGUGACGGUAAUGGGUAAAGAAGCACCGGCUAACUACGUG